AGAAAACUCCAGACACACUUUGCAAGAAAACAUGAAAUUCAUUAGAGCUCCAACUCAGGUCAUUUGGGGAAAGCAGGACCAGGUACUGGAUGUUUCAGGAGCUGGAGUCCUUGCUGAUAAUAUUCCUGGUUGUAGAGUGGAUCUCUUGGAAAACUGUGGCCAUUCUGUGGUGAUGGAGCGGCCCCGUAAGAGUGCUAAAAUUAUCCUGGAAUUUUCAGCUUCCCUACAAAACACAAGACCAGAAAACAAUAAGAAGUUAGCCUAACAUUUAUAAAUGAAAGCUGUAUUGCUUUGGAUUGCAAAUAAAAUGUGAUGCUGUAAUAAUUUCCCAGGAAGCAAAAUGACUUGAUUGAAUGCUGAUGGCCCAAUAUUGUCUAUUAAGAGUGUUAGUUAAUAAUGUUUGGUAGUGCUUUCAAAUUACAUAAACACAAUUUUGAAAGACACAGAAUAUUGCCAGAAACUAAAAGCAUGCAGUAUAUAAAAAGGAACAUAAAUCACAGGAAAAUGCUCUUCUUUGCCAGAUUUCCUACACUAGAUUGAUCUUCAUUUUGGCAGUCUAUGUUUCACCAUUUGAUACAAGUAGCAAUGCAAUACUUUCCCAUUUUUCAGUUCAAGGUCAGUUUCAUAAAAUUCAUAAAUCAUUAGCAUAAUUUAUUAAAUAUGUAAUUUAUAUUUUAGAAUUAUUUUUGAUUGCUCAGUUAUUUAAAUCUGUAGAAGGUGGUUACAAAGCUUUUGUGGUUAGUCAUAACUUUUUCAACGGUGAUGUUGCAGGGAAGGUACAGUUGCUAUCAAUACUGUUCAAUAGAGAUUUUAUCAUAGUUUUGAUAGGAAUUUGCAUUUGUGUGGCUAUUUGUUUGUAACAAUGUAUUAUAAAAUUUCCUCUGAACAAUUGCUAAACAUCACUACAGUAAUAAACAUUGUGACCAUAAUUUUGCAUAAUAUCUGCUUUAACAGAUAUGACAAACUGGGAAAUAAGUAAGAUGUUCUAUAAACUUUGAAACAUUUAUUUGAGAUUUAACACAUUGGUUCAGUUUACUAUUUAAUAAAUAAACCAGCACUGGGCAAAGAGAUUUCAUGAAGUCAGUGAAUCAAACAAUAAAAUGUUCACAUAGGAUAUGUCUUCAGAAAAAGGAGACGUUCAUAGUAAUUUUGAUCUUACAGGUAAAUGUUUAUGUGAAGAAUAUUACUAAGAAGUAAGAUGCUGCUUUAUCCACAAAUCUGCUUUAGUUCAUUGUUUAGACUUUUCCCCAUCCUCUGUUAUUUGGUUCAACUGAGAUGACUGUAGAUCAUUAAACAAAUAGGCUAAAGCUGUUCUCAGUGUUGAGUAAGGUAUCCUGGUUAUCAUUUCUUUAUUCCAUCAAUGACUUAUGAAUUCUGUGAAUUCUAUUGCUGUUUAAUAAUUAUACUUAAAAUAUUUGUGAUGCGUCAAUAUUCCCAUAAUAGACAAUCCUAUUUAAGUUGUAGAAAUAAGUUUAAUUGUUCUAGCCAUCAAGUGCUGGAAUCCCAUGAGUGUUGAGAAGGGAACAGUGCAUCAGCUGAGUUUGUCUACAAUUAUUCGGCAAAUUGCACUAACUCUUGAACUCUUGGAUUAUGACUGUGAAUGUUGCACCUGCAAAAAGAGGUUACAAGAGCAGUCCUCAUUGUGCUCCACUUCAGCAACUCAUGUUGAAAGGGAUUCAGUUCAUGGUACUGAACCCUCUGGAAAGGUCAAUAGGUGUGAGGAUGUUGUGGGUCAAGUGGAAAGAUAAUAGUUUACUGGAGAUACUAAUAUGUAUGAUUGAGAUUGAAAUGUUUUCGUUUGUGAACAUUUUAAGGUCCAAGUAAACAGUUUUCCAAUGAAAACUAUCUUUCACUGAAAAUUUUGGAAAAAUGUUAAUAUUAAUUGAUUUCUAGGAUUGGAUUCCGUAAUAUCUUUUCAUCUCUGUGACCAAGGAAUGAAAACAGAACUGUCAGAAAAAAUAGUUCCUUCCUUCCUCUCUCUCUGUCACUGUUAAAGGGUCUAACUGUAAUGAAUUGAGAUGGGCUUAGUUAACUGAUCAGAAAUAAAACUUUGCAAAAGCAUAUUGCUUUCAAAUGUGAUACAAUGAGUGGUUUCACUUACAGUCUAUGGAAAAGAUUGUAUCCUAUGGGGUGACUUCUGUAGCUAAUAUCUCUUUGGGUGAAUUGAGAGAGGUUUGUAUUUUCAAAGUUUUGUUUUGUUUAUCCUAGUUUGCUAAGUUGUAUCCCCAAUUAUAUACUGAGUGCAUGUUUCAGUUUUUAUGUUUAUUUAUUGUUUAUCUUUCUUAGCAUAAGUACAAAAUUUAAUAAAAUGAUUACUAUCCUUUA